rnacentral:rRNA from 1 species
GAUGAACGCUGGCGGCGUGCCUAAUACAUGCAAGUCGAGCGAACAGAUGAGGAGCUUGCUCCUCUGACGUUAGCGGCGAACGGGUGAGUAACACGUGGAUAACCUACCUAUAAGACUGGGAUAACUUCGGGAAACCGGAGCUAAUACCGGAUAAUAUAUUGAACCGCAUGGUUCAAUAGUGAAAGACGGAGUUGCUGUCAAUUAUAGAUGGAUCCGCGCCGCAUGAGCUAGUUGGUAAGGUAACGGCUUACCAAGGCAACGAUGGGUAGCGGACCUGAGAGGGUGAUCGGCCACACUGGAACUGAGACACGGUCCAGACUCCUACGGGAGGCAGCAGUAGGGAAUCUUCCGCAAUGGGCGAAAGCCUGACGGAGCAACGCCGCGUGAGUGAUGAAGGUCUUCGGAUCGUAAAACUCUGUUGUUAGGGAAGAACAAAUGUGUAAGUAACUAUGCACGUCUUGACGGUACCUUAUCAGAAAGCCACGGCUAACUACGUG